UACGAAGGGGGCUAGCGUUGCUCGGAAUCACUGGGCGUAAAGGGUGCGUAGGCGGGUCUUUAAGUCAGGGGGGAAAUCCUGGAGCUCAACUCCAGAACUGCCUUUGAUACUGCAAAUCUCGAGUCCGGAAGAGGUGAGUGGAAUUCCUAGUGUAGAGGUGAAAUUCGUAGAUAUUAGGAAGAACACCAGUGGCGAAGGCGGCUCACUGGUCCGGUACUGACGCUGAGGUGCGAAAGCGUGGGGAGCAAACAGG
rnacentral:rRNA from 1 species